rnacentral:rRNA from 1 species
CCUACGUGUCGCAGCAGUGGGGAAUAUUGGACAAUGGGCGAAAGCCUGAUCCAGCCAUGCCGCGUGUGUGAAGAAGGCCUUCGGGUUGUAAAGCACUUUCAGUGGGGAAGAAAGCCUUGGGGCUAAUACCCUCGAGGAAGGACAUCACCCACAGAAGAAGCACCGGCUAACUCCGUGCCAGCAGCCGCGGUAAUACGGAGGGUGCGAGCGUUAAUCGGAAUUACUGGGCGUAAAGCGCGCGUAGGCGGUCUGAUAAGCCGGUUGUGAAAGCCCCGGGCUCAACCUGGGAACGGCAUCCGGAACUGGCAGGCUAGAGUGCAGGAGAGGAAGGUAGAAUUCCCGGUGUAGCGGUGAAAUGCGUAGAGAUCGGGAGGAAUACCAGUGGCGAAGGCGGCCUUCUGGACUGACACUGACGCUGAGGUGCGAAAGCGUGGGUAGCAAACAGGAUUAGAUACCCCUGUAGUC